AAUAACCAAAUAUAACACUUGGGCUAAGGGUCAAGUUGGUAAUUUUUNUUACAUCUCCCCCCCCAGGGGCCCAGGUAUCAUAUACGCCCCCNAAAUAAAGAGCCUUGAAUACUAGAAGAAAAGCACCUAUACCUAACAAAAUUAAGUGAAUACCCNAAAUUGUAGUCAUUUUAUUCCUAUCUUUCCA
rnacentral:antisense_RNA from 13 species